GGAUGGAUCAUUAACGUCAAUGAAAUUUAAGCAGACGAUGACCCUUAAACAAUUGUGGUCCAGUGACAAUCAACACAACUUGUCGUGUUGUCGUCUGUGUAAUAAUUCUCAUUAAUGUACACCCUUUGUGGUGAAAACAGGAAUAUUUUUAUUGUAGUAGUUAAUUUUUGAUUAAUAAUUCCACUUGUGGAGUUGUUUGAUAUCAGAGGUGCUAUUAUCAUCUAUAUAAAGACCCAAACAUUUAUUAACAUUUCUAAUGCUAAAGUAACCUUGUGAACUAAACAUUGAAAGCAAUUGAUAUAUUUGUUACCAAGUAAAACAAUUAAUAAAUCUAAUACAACUGCUAGCAACGGAUCACUCGGCUCUCGCGUCGAUGAAGAACGUAGCGAACUGCGAAAAUUAAUGCGACCCGCAACACGUGAGUCAUCGAGUCUUUGAACGCAUAUUGCACCCGACAGGUUCACUUGUCGGGUCUGCCUGUCUGAGUAUCAAUACGGACCCAAUCGAUAAAUAAUAUUUGUUGAAUUGGUGCUCACUAAUUUUUUAUUAGUGGAUUUGAAUGUUCAAUGAAUUCUUUUGUUGAUCAUUUGAAAUGUAUUGGUGAAUAUUAAUCAUUUUGAUAAUUGCCAACGGCUAAUUAAGCAUUGUUAAUCAUCUUUAAUUAGGUGUUCAUUGCUUACUAUAAAACCAUUGGAACCACGAUUAUCAAGCAUUGAGUAAAAUCGGUGUCUUGAUUUAUACCAUUCGCAUACCUUUAUUAAUUCAUUAUUAAUGGUAUACACUCUUUAACCAUCUUGAUCUCAGAUCAGGCAGGAUGACCCGCUGAACUUAAGCAUAUCAGUAAGCGGAGGAAAAGAAACUAACCAGGAUUCCCUUAGUAACGGCGAGUGAAGCGGGAAUAGCCCAAUCUGAAAAGCUAGUCUGCCCUGGUGCAGGUCUCGCAUUGUAGGUUGAUGAAUCGUUUCCUAGUGUUAAACCUUUCAAUUAAAGUUCCUUGGAACAGGACAUCAAAGAGGGUGAUAAUCCCGUGAUUAAUUGAAUGACAUACCAGUUUAACACGUCUAUGGAGCGUUUUCUUAGAGUCGGAAUGUUUGGGAUUGCAUUCCAAAGUGGGUGGUAAACUCCAUCUAAGGCUAAAUACUGGCGAGAGACCGAUAGCGAACAAGUACCGUGAGGGAAAGUUGAAAAGCACUCUGGAGAGAGAGUCAAACAGUACGUGAAAUUGCUAGCAGGGAAACGUUGGGCACCAGUACACGGCAAUUAAUGUUAAUGAUCAGUCGUUUUAUUAAUGAAUUGUAAUGUGGUGUUUUACUUUGAUGAUUGUCCUCGCGGCGACUAACAUAUUACAAAUUAUUAAUGAAUCGGUGCACUCUUUAACAGCCGGGUCAACAUCGGUUAAUGACGUCCGACAAGUCAGUGGACAAGGUAGCAUUGGUGGGUUCGCUCAUCUUUGAACUUAUAGGUCUAUUGUACGAGGAUGUUGUUGACCGAGGAUAGUCGAUUCGUGCGUUUCGGCGCAGGGCGUAUUAGUUUGGUUAAGGUUGCCCGUGGUAUUAAGCAGCAUGCUGAUUAAUAUUCAUUUUACUAUACUUGUAUAGUAGUGGCGAUCGCCAGAUUAAUACAAGCCACUAGCGAGUCAAUGAAGGUUGACGAAAUGGUAUUCAACGACCCGUCUUGAAACACGGACCAAGGAGUCUAACAUGUCUGCGAGUGUUUGGGUGGAAAACCCUUACGCGGAAUGAAAGUAAAGAGGCAAGUUUCGCACUUGUCCACUGGUAGGAAUCGAAGCGUUACGGCGCGACGAGGCACUACCGACCGACCUGUUACCCUCUGUGGUGGUAGGUUUGAGUUGGAGCAGUCCUGUUAGGACCCGAAAGAUGGUGAACUAUGCCUGAGCAGGAUGAAGUCAGAGGAAACUCUGAUGGAGGUCCGUAGCGGUUCUGACGUGCAAAUCGAUCGUCGGACUUGGGUAUAGGGGCGAAAGACUAAUCGAACCAUCUAGUAGCUGGUUCCUGC
rnacentral:misc_RNA from 1 species